rnacentral:rRNA from 1 species
CCUACGGGAGGCAGCAGUGGGGGAUAUUGCACAAUGGGCGGAACCCUGAUGCAGCGACGCCGCGUGUGGGAAGACGGUCCUCUGGAUUUUAAACUACUUUCUCCAGGAACGAAAAUGACGGUAUCUGGCGAGCAAGCUCUGGCUAACUACGAGCCAGCAGCCGCGGCAAUGGGUGGGGAGGGAGCGUUGUCCGGAAUUACGGGGUGAACGGGGAGCGUAGGCGUAGAUGAAAGUUGGGUGUCAAAACUACGGGAUAAACGGGGAGUCGCACUGGAAACUGCAGCUCUUGAGUGAAGUAGAGGCGGGCGGAAUUCCUAGUGUAGCGGUGAAAUGCGUAGAUAUUAGGAGGAACACCAGUGGCGAAGGCGGCCUGCUGGGCUGUUACUGACGCUGAGGCUCGAAAGUGUGGGGAGCAAACAGGAUUAGAUACCCGGGUAGUC